UCUAGUAUUUGCCUGCAAGUGUGGGCAGUUGUGUUGAAUGUAAAGAACAAGAGAACUCACAGUCUGGGCUAAGAACACCGGAAGGCUCUGGGUUCCUCAGGCACUCUGAAGGAGGAAUAUUCUGUGCAAAGCUGGAGAUACUUUUGUUCCCCCAGGAACUUUACAAAGCUCCAACAGCAUGUCAAUAGCUCAUUAUCGUGGUCAUGUAAAAAUGGAAACAUAAAGAAGAAAGCUGAGUUCACACAGAACCAAGCGCUGAUGGAUGCUUGCAGUAGAAUGGAUAGCCUCGCGAUGAUGCGAUAAACCAUGAACCCGGACUCGAACCCAGCUCCCUAGUCAGUCCGGCACCCACACCUGGGCUGAUGAACGGAAGGAAAGUAAUUGUGUAAAUGGCAGCUUACUCUGUUCUCAUCGGUAAGACAGUAGUGGGCAAUCCAGGCAGAGCUGUUCAGGUCCUGCUCCCUCCUUCUGGCAUCUGAUUAAUGAGGAUCCUUCAAGGUCUGGAACCCAGGGACCCCAGCGCAGAGGCCAUUCUGGCAGUUUCACAGCCACUGAGAGCCGGAAGAGGAAAUGAAAGAAGCAAAGAUCCAUUUACUUUUCUAAGAAGCUCUGACAAAAUUCUUCAUAUGGUUGACACAUCUCUGAACCCGCCCCCACAACAUCCUGAGGGAGGCGGAUGGCCACCCUUCUCCCAGUUCCCCCACAUGACUAAGUGUGUGACCCACACAUGACUCACUCA